rnacentral:rRNA from 1 species
CAGUCGCCACGGUAAUACGGAGGGUGCAAGCGUUAUCCGGAUUUAUUGGGUUUAAAGGGUCCGUAGGCGGACUUAUAAGUCAGUGGUGAAAGCCUGUCGCUUAACGAUAGAACUGCCAUUGAUACUGUAAGUCUUGAGUAUAGUUGAGGUAGCUGGAAUAAGUAGUGUAGCGGUGAAAUGCAUAGAUAUUACUUAGAACACCAAUUGCGAAGGCAGGUUACCAAGAUAUAACUGACGCUGAGGGACGAAAGCGUGGGUAGCGAACAGGAUUAGAUACCCCCGUAGUCCCUGUCUCUUAUAC